GAUGAACGCUGGCGGCGUGCCUAAUACAUGCAAGUCGAGCGAACAGAUGAGGAGCUUGCUCCUCUGACGUUAGCGGCGGACGGGUGAGUAACACGUGGAUACCCUACCUAUAAGACUGGGAUAACUACGGGAAACCGGAGCUCAUACCGGAUGAUAUAUUGAACCGCAUGGUUCAAUAGUGAAAGACGGUUUUGCUGUUACUUAUAGAUUGAUUCGCGUCGCAUUAGCUAGUUGGUAAGGUAACGGCUUACCAAGGCAACGAUGCGUAGCCGACCUGAGAGGGUGAUCGGCCACACUGGAACUGAGACACGGUCCAGACUCCUACGGGAGGCAGCAGUGGGGAAUCUUCCACAAUGGGCGAAAGCCUGACGGAGCAACGCCGCGUGAGGGAUGAAAGUCUUCGGAUCGUAAAACUCUGUUAUUAGGGAAGAACAAAUGUGUGAGUAACUAUGCACGCCUUGACGGUACCUAAUCAGAAAGCCACGGCUAACUACGUG
rnacentral:rRNA from 1 species